UCAUGCGCUUCAAGAGAAUUUUGCAGCUCCUCGACCUUCAUCUUCUCUGUAUCUUUGCUUUCCUCAAUCGCCACAACUAUAUGAUCGAAUUGAGGUGUCAAUGUUCUCAAGAUUUUAUCCACAACCUUCUUGUCUUUGACCACUUUAUCACACGCCCGCAUUGCAUUCACAACCACCUGGAUCCUUCCAAUGUAAGCUUCGAUGGUUUCUUGUUCACCUAUACUCAGAAGUUCAUACUGCCUAUGCAAAGAUUG
rnacentral:lncRNA from 1 species